AGACUUAAAAAUGAGAGCGUGGGGAAAUGUGGCAAAUUUUCAGAGCCCAAGAGGGGUAAAACUUUGUGUAAUAUUCAUAUCCCCACAAUACUGACCAAGUAUCCCAACUUUCUAUAGCUUAUAGUGUUUUCACAAAUGAACAUGUUGACUAUCCUAUGAGAUGGUUGGGAAAGUAUUAUUUACCAUCCCCAUUUUAUGAAUGAGAGAACUGACGGCUAGACAAGUUAAAGUAGCUUGUCCACUUCACCUGGAUAAUGAGCAAAUGAGUUGGGAUUCACACUCAGGUCUUCUAACUCCAAACCUUGCGUUUUCUCCACCCUCUCACUAACUGCUCAGUGGUGCAAGUGAUAAUAUUUUUGUAGCAAAGAUGCCUGUUAUAUUUUGCAGAUUGUUACUAGAACUCAUCAAGAAUAACAUUAGAGGACCCUGUUAAUCCAAGACUGACAACAGUGGACAGAGAUGCUCUCUAAGCAUAAAGCAAGGAAUACUCUGGGAGAAUUUGGAGAAGUAGGUGGAUGACACAAACCCAUUAUGAAUAGAUCAAUUGACAGCCAAGAGAAUCAAGACAAUUUUUAGGAAACCAGGCUUAUGACUAAUAGAAGAAAAAAAUGCAUGAUGGUAUGAGGCUACUCUGAGCAAUAUUUGGAUCUCUCUUUGUUUCAACCUAGAAGACAUGACUUUGUGGGGGUGAAGGAAGAGAGAGUUGCCCCUGGGCACUUUGGAACACCAGAACAUACGAUUAUCAGCACACUUCUGAGGGAAAGGGACCACACCAAUCUCUUAUGUUUCAAAUGCCAAGAAAAAAUUUAUUGCUUACCUCUAAAGAACUCAUUGAUAUGGUCGAUCCAGUUUCACUUCUCGAUAGUCCUGCAUUAUCAUCCAACUCAGUGGCCAUGAAAUUCUUCACAGCUGUGCGGGGCUCAAAGGAAAUCAUAACUCAAUCAACAAUCAGAGGGGAAAAUAAAAUCUCACCAUGAUUUGCGCAUGCCCAUUAGGAAAAGAACUUGAAGAAUCAGCAUUGAUUGGAUCCUGACAGUUUCUCAGUCGGCAUCUAAAUGCAUCCUGAACCUGUGGGAGCCAGAAAUGACAGACUUUAAUUUUCUUCUCUCUUAGAAAUGAGCAGAUAAUGUCUACAUUAGCAAACAACUGAAAAAGCAGUUAUCACUGUUUUUAUGUUACCCAAUUUAUUUAAUUCCUAAUACAAAUACUGAUGUUCCUCGACUUUGCUCUCUGCCAAGGAAAUUUACCACUUGCCAUAAUCUAUAGAGGGAAGUGUUGGGAACUCCACAGCUAUCAAAAUGGCUGUGUCUGGCUCAACACCAGUAAUUCUCACCUGCGGGCAGAUUUAUUUCCACUGUUACAAGCAAUAUGUGUGGUUUUCAAGGGGGAUUUACUAUUUGGUAUGGCAUAAUCUAUAAUAUCUCUAAACACUGUGAAAAAUAAAAUUACUCAAUCAUCUUCUGACAAAUUGAUUUUGGAUUUUCCUUUUAUGUCUCAUGUAAGGGAUCCUAUUGGUGAGACUAUUUCUCGUCUCCCUUCAAGUACUAUAUGCCCUGAAACAAAACGCAGUAAGACAAAGAGAUAACAAAAA